AGGCUGGAAGCGAACCUGGGCCCCUGGCGCUGUGAGGCAGCCAUGCUAACCACUGAGUCACCGUGCUGCCCCCUAUCUUUGAAAGAUACAGAUGACUGAACCACAUGUAUGAGUCUUUUAGAUAUGCACCUCUUUGAGCCUUUUAAAGGCAGAUCAGGAAGCUCUUGAUAAAUAUUGUUAAUUACAAACCAUUAGAUUGCUUUAUUUUACAACAAUUGAGCAGUAGCAUGAAACAGACUCAUGUGGUUCUAUUAGUAUAACUUUGUUCAUGUACUAACAUAGAACAAACAUUGUUAAUUGUGUGUCAUUUGUCUUUCACUAUGUUUGGGUGGUGAGCGUUAAUUGUGAAUUCACCUGUACCCAUUCACAUAGGAAUAGGUUGAAAGAGGUGCUGUUGCUUGGAGGUGAAUAUUAAGUUCCCUGGGUCUCUGUAAAUAAUAGAUUGUAAGUGUACAUAGACUAGCUUCCAGUCCAUUCUUCAUCGCUUGCCUAUUUAAUUGCAACACACUACUAUGUUUCUCCUUUCUGCCAUCUGCUUUCCCUGUUUUAACCUUCUGAUUUAGUGAAUAGAUGGUCUUACAUUUUUUUAGAAAAUAAUUUGUUGUAUGUAUUUUUAAAUCUCUUCACAGUCAGAGGAGAGGGCCUGAUCAGACCUCCCCGUUAAGCACAGCCAAAGACAACAGUUAUGUUCAUCAACCAGUGAAACAGGUUAAUUAGUUGCUGGCAGUUUAUAGUUUUUGAGAAACGGAUUCAAUGCCUAGACUAUUAGCAUUUGUUUUUAUAUUCAUUAUUGCUAUUUUCUAACUUGUGUGAAUGCACUUUGCCUCAAAGACCCAAUGUUUAAAUAUAAUUAUUUUUGCUACAGGAAGGAUUUGGGCAAAUAGUCAUAAAUCCCAAAACAGAGCACAUCAUCUCUGAAUACCUGCUCCUGCCCUGAUCAGUAAGCCCUCACUUGUGUACUCAUUGCUUGUGCUACAGUGCAAGUUAUAAUAUUUAAGGAGGGCCAACAUUAAAAACUGCUGUGGAAUUCAGUGACCAAUGAGCAAAGCAUCAUCAACACAUUCGAGUGAACUUGAGUAUAAUCCAUUUUUACUCUCUCUCAUCAGUGACCUUGCCCCCAUCAUUAGGUCAGGAGUGGGGAUGUUUGUUGAUGAUUGUACAAUGUUCAGUACCAUUCAUGACUGCACAGAUAGUAAAACAGUCUAUAUGCAGCAAGAUGUGUACAGAAUGGGCUGUACGUGGCAAGUGACAUGUGCCACACAAGUACCAGGUAAUGGCCAUCUCCAACAUGAGAAAUUGUAACUAUCAUUCAAUGGCAUUACCAUCAGUGAAUUCUCCAUUAUCAACAUCCUGGCUGUUACUAUUGACUUGAAACAACUGGACAAGCUAUGUGAAUACUGAAGCUAUAACAGCAGGUCAGAAUUUCCGAUUCUCAUUUCCUGACUCCCAAGGUCUCUGCCGUCUACCAGGCACAUGUCAGAGCUGUGAUGAAGUACUCCCCAUUUAGCAAUAAGAAUGCAGCUUCAACAAUGUUUGAGAAGCUACACAGGACAUAACUUAAAUUAACCCUGUUUGCACCCUCCACCAACCAUACACAAUAUCAGAAGUUUAUAGCUUCUCAAGGUACACUGCAACAACUUAGUAAGACUCCUUCAGCAACACCUCCAUCUAGAAGGACAAGGGGGCAAUUGCAUGGGACCAUCACCAUCUAUAAAUUCCCCUCCAAGCUAUACAGUAUCCCAACUCGGAACUAUCUCACCAUUCUUUCAUUUCCAUUGGAUCAAGAUCCUGGAACUCCCUUUCUAACAGCACUUUGGGUGCACCAUAUGGAUUGUGGUGGCUCAAGGAGACUGCUUGUUCCUACCUUCUUUAGCCCCAUAGAGAUGGACAGUCAAUGCUGCCAGCAACACAUUAUGAAAGAAUCUUAGAAAAAUUUCUUCCCCACUUAAUCUGGCUGUAGGAUUUGCUAGUCCCAAUAUUCAAUGGUUCCUCCCAUUUUCCAGCAAAGGAAAGCUUUUAGAAGUGAGAUAACUUUAGCCCAAAUGGGACAGGCUGUUUUAGAACUGCCGAAUGUCAGAAAAGGGAUUAGAAAAGUGGAAGUUUCACAUCUCUGUGACAUUGAGAUAUACAGUAAUGUAAAAUGGGAAGUUCUUCACAAUAUAGUUUAAUACUGAUGGAGACCAGGAAGUAGGUGUUGAGCCAAUUUGUGGGAAGGUUUCAUAAUGGAAAUUGAGGAAGAAAAAGCCACUUAAUUGAGGUGGAGAUGCUGUAGUUACCAUCUGGCAAUUAAUACAAUUCAAGAGGGGUUUUAUUUAACUGUAUGCAUAUUGAUUGAUUUUUCAUUGAGAGUUCAGUAUCAUCUGAACUUUCUAAACUGUUUACUUCACUCAUGGUGUUCUGUUUAUUUAUUAUGCACGACUUUCAUGAUCAUUAACGUGUGUUUUUGGUUUUCUUCCUCCAUCCCUUUUCUUCCAUGUUACUGUUACAGCUCCAACUUCUAUGAAUAUAGAUUUUGCAAACUUUGCAUUUGGAAGUUGUCAUACUUCUGAUAAUUUUGGGGCUUUCUCCUCAGCAAGUCUGCCACCUUUCCAGUCCAACUGUGCAGGUGGAUCCUCUGCAUCAACAAAUGCUAAUUUUGCAAAUUUUGAUAACUUCCCAAAAUCUUCUAGUGCUGACUUUGGAGUUUUCUGUUCCUCUGGGAAUGACACAACUGUAAACAAAGCACAUGCUGUUACUCAGGAUAAAUAUGCAGCCCUUGCUGAUCUGGAUAAUGUUUUCAGCAAUAGUACCUCUACACAAGGUGGAAGUAGUCAACUGACUAAUUUCAGCUCAACAACUGUUGGAUCUUCUGUGAUGACUGCCAAUCAGUCAAGCUCCUCAGCAAACAAGUAUGCAGCACUAGCAGAAUUAGAUAAUGUCUUUAGCUCUCCGUCAACCACUAGUAAUGUAUCUAGCACAAGCAGUGUUACAGGCAGGGGGUUUCUCUCCUUCCUAAAGAUCAUAAGGGACUGAGUCAUCACAGCUCUUCACAAAACCGAAUGUACAGCCUCUGGUCGAAAUGAACUGGAGAUGACACAGGAAGGGGGCAGUCUUUAUAGACACAUGUGUUUGGGACAGUACAAAGUGCUACAGCAGUACAGACUCAUCCUGGAGCCAGCACUACACCUGCAGCAUUUGGAGGUAAGCCAUUUGUUUUGCA